rnacentral:misc_RNA from 1 species
UCUCUCUAAUCUGUGACACUAUGUAGCGUUUUUCUGCGGUUGUUGCCAUAAGUAACUGAUUAGAAUAGUAUUGACAGAGUUUUAGUGACUGUCUAAGAGUAAAUUAGUAUUUAUUGCACGUUAGUUAGCAAUUCAGAAGAUUGCUCUCGAUAUUAUAAUUUAUUUCAUUUUAUUCAGGUAAUGAAAUAACAUAAUGUGAAAAGAUCGUGUAAAUUUUACUGUUAAUUGAUUUAUUUGUAAAAAUUAUAUGGUUUUUCAAUACGUAAAUAUAUUAAAAUUAAUUCAAAUAGAUUCGUAAAAUUACAGUAGCAACUGUUGGAAAAUACAUAUAAUAUUUCGUCCAGAAAAGUUUUUAAUCUAUUUGUAAUGUUUAUUACAAUUACGUGCUGCUGAUCACUGAAUAAAAAUUACACACAUUUAAAAAUUGUAAAAAAAAUCUGCUAAUUAGGCUGGAAUUGAAAGGAUAAUUAUAAUAAACCCUGAAGAUGGCAGUUAAUGUGUUCGAUGGUUGGGACUACGCAAUCAUGGCUGCCACGAUGGCGGCGUCGAUAAUCAUCGGUGUUUAUUUCCGUUUUAGUGGAGGCAAACAGAAAACGAAUGAGGAAUAUCUUCUGGCCGACCGCAAUCAGUCCAUAUUGCCAGUGGCUGUGUCCCUGAUGGCAUCUUUUAUGUCUGCGAUUACUCUGCUCGGUGUCUCAUCAGAAAAUUAUUAUUAUGGGAUGCAAUUUGUUGCAAUCAACAUAUCACAUUUAUUAGCUACGCCUAUAGCUUGCUACUUGUAUCUUCCUGUAUUUUUUAGACUACAAAAGACAAGCACCUACGAGUAUUUAGAGCUCCGCUUCGGUCCACGAAUAAGAAUGCUCGCAUCAUUGACAUACACAUUACAAAUGGUGCUAUAUAAUGGAAUAGUAUUAUAUGCUCCUGCUAUAGUUCUAGAAUCCGUGACUGGUCUGGAUAGACUGAUAUCUAUUUUAGUUGUAGGUUUAGUAUGCACUUUUUACUCAACUUUAGGAGGCAUGAAAGCAGUAUUAUUCACUGACUUGCUACAGUCUCUGCUGAUGUUUGGAGCUGUAUUUAUAAUAAUUAUAUUUAGUGCAAUACAAUUAGGUGGAUUCGAGAAGAUAUUUACCAUAGCGCAAGAAGGUGGGCGAUUAAAUUUUAACAAUUUCAGCUUGGAUCCAACAGAGAGGCACACGUGGUGGUCUUUGUUGAUUGGCGGUGCUAUUACUUAUUUGUCUUUAUAUGCAGUUAAUCAGACACAAGUUCAACGACUGAUGACUGUUAGCACAUUGGAAAGAUCACAGAAGUGCCUUUGGUGGAGUUGGCCAGUUCUUUUUACACUUGGUGUUAGUACUUGUACCAGCGGUCUUGGCAUGUAUGCGGUAUACAGACACUGUGAUCCUUUAUUGGAUCAAAAAAUAACUUCUAUAGAUCAGCUAAUGCCGUACUACGUGGUGGAUGCGAUGCGAGGUGUUUCAGGUUUGGCUGGCCUGUUCGUGGCAGGUAUCUUCAGUGCUUCUCUGUCUACUAUAUCGGCUGCUUGCAAUGCGCUAGCCGCUGUCACGCUCACAGACUACGUCGGUAGGUGGUGCACCGUACGACCAUCUUACAUGCCAUGGCUUACGAAAUUGGCGGCAUGUGGGUAUGGACUUUUUUUCUUGGCUUUGGCAUUUCUCGCUGAGUACCUCGGCGGUGUGCUGCAGGCUGCCUUAACCAUCUUCGGUGCAGUCGGUGGACCCUUAUUGGGUGUUUUUACGCUUGGCAUGUUUACAACAUACGCUACAGAAUUGGGUGCAUCGAUAGGCUUGGUCACUGGUAUGAUGAUUACACUGUGGAUGAGUUUUGGGGGGCCGCGUCCGCCGCUCACCAAGCUACCUCUUAGCACCGAGGGUUGUGCUCAUAAUGGAACUUUAUGGGAGUUCACGCAAAGUAAUCCAGAUGACUAUUUCUAUUUAUAUCGAGUGUCUUAUAUGUGGACUAGUCCGUUCGGUUUCGUGUGGGUGGUGGUGGUGGGCAGCGCGGUGUCGGCGCUGUGGCGGCAGCAGCAGCCGUGGGAGCGCGCGGGCCGGCCGCACCCCGACCCCGCGCUCUUCACGCCGCCCCUCGCCGCACGCCUCAGGGAGAGGGCAAGCGGAGAUAAAGCUGAUAUUCAGAUGGAUUCUACCUAAAAUGAAUCUUCUCUUCAUUCUUCGGGCUUGCUUUGUAGAUAGCAUGUAAUAUUAGUAUUGCAGAGUGAACUGCUGAUGUACAAUGGAGUAAAAAAACUCUAAGAAUAGCAUCUAAAACUGCAAAACAAUGUUCCUAAAUUAUUUUUGUAAUAUUAUUUAAGGACUUUAGCACAAAUUAAUCAGAAAGACAGAUCACGCUUUUUGACACGUUAGAUUUUUUGUUUAGCAAAAUGUGUGCAUGUCGAGUCGAUACAUCGACAAGACGGUAAAUGUCUUCCACUGCCCCAUUAUGUCGUGGGUACCUUUUAUCAAGUAUAACAAAAGUAAUUCUUUGGUAAAAAUAAAUGUAACUUUAUCGCAAUAAUGGUAGGUGCACAAUUUAAUGUAUUUGGGUGCUAAAUAAAACAAUAAUUUUAUUACGUAUCUUACUGUUAACUACGAAUAGUUUUCAGUGACUAACUAAUAAACAAUACGAGAAUUAUGAAUUUAGAAUAAAAAUAUAGCUUUGGAUUUGUAAAACUCAAAGCCUUAGCAAUGUCUAAAACCAAAUAUCAGUGUAUACAAUUUGUUAAUUUUAAAUCUGAUGUUAAUUUUAUGGAAUUAUGCUAAUUGUAUUAAAUUAGAAAAUAUUACUAUAAUUAAUAUUAUAUCACCGUAUAAUUACAUUUUUAGAUUUCUAUUUUUUUAUUCAACGUAGAAUGACAAAUAAAUUGCCGGCCCAUCUGCUAUAAAACGGUAACCGUCGCUUAUAGACAUGAACGGUACCAUUGACAUUACAGAAUAUACUGUGAUUACCAAGGAACUCCUCAUGCGUUGCCAUUCCCUUGUGUUAAAUUUUUAUUUACCGCAUUAAAAUACUGUUAAAUUAUUAGGUUACACUUAACCUUUACCUAUGUUAUUAAUUUGAUAGUAAUAUAAAUAAAGACAAA